CCCCUUUCAAUUAGAGAAUCUUAGGAUAUGCUAAGGCAAACAGAAGGAGGCAAGGAACGGGACUGCAUCAAUUGCUGUUUGGAACCAAUCUUGUGGGAUGACUUCUGGACAGGGAAAAAACAAUUUCAUCAUCUACCCUAAUACUGACGAAUGUUCUAAAACGUGCUGUAAGGCAGACAUUUCCAAAUGUAACGGAGGAAAGUUUCGAGACAUGUAAUGGUUUCAACAUGCUGCUGAGACCCAACUCAAGAGACGUCAGUUUGUACUGUUUUGUCCAUUCUCAUUGGGCAUGCUUGUAUGGAGAGGUAUAUAUAUUGGAGUACAGACAUGGUGUUUGGUAUGAGUAUUAUAUACAUCCUCUUGAGUCAAAGAGGACCGGUAGCCACUUUGAACUCCGUGUCCGAAAGGGUCAAAGUAUGGAGCUCCCGGUACUCAGAAAAAAAAUUCUGGCCUAUUAGUUUUGAACUUUCGAGUCAAGUUUGGUGUCAUUUUUAUGUAAACUGUUCGCUUCAUUUUUAAAUUGAAGAAGAUUAAAAAUCACAGUAAUAUUAUUAAGGCAAAAGUUUGUGAGCAUACUGUGUUUGUUACUUCCUCACGCCACGCCCAAGUGCCUUAACAAAUAUUAUUUAUAAAAUUAAGUAUGGAGGAAGUAAGAUAUACCCUAAGUUAACACGUCGCUUCUUCUUGAUCGUGGGUAACACUCGGGGCGCAGUAUAAUGAUUAUUAAAAAUCUUUAUGCUGUCCCCUAUGCUGCGAUGGCGAUCGUUGCAGUACUUUCAAUAUUUUUUUUACAUCAAAUAUUAGAAUCAUCAAAGAUUACUAAUAAAAUAGGCUUUUUAAAAAUAUUUUUAAAAAUCAUGAUUAGUAUAAAAAUAUGGAAAUAUGAGGAUUUGUUUGCAUUUCGUGGCUACUAAAAAUUCAUUAUAUUAAAUAUUGUGCUAUAUUUUGCUAUGGAACCCUAAAAAAGUAGUUACAUAAAACUGACACUAAAAUUGACUCAAAAGCUCAAACUAAUCGGCCAGAAUUUUUUUCUGAGCAGCAGGAGCUCCAUACUUUGACCCCCUCUCCCCCUUCGGACACGGAGUUCAAAGUGGCUACCGGUCUUGUUUGACUCGGGAGGACGUGUAUAAUACCCAUACCAAACGCCAAUGCCCUACUCAAAAAUUCACCUUUUCCCAAUAGAGAACGGACUGUGUUAGACAGACGACAGUGCAUGUUGUUACACGGUAAAUUUUACUAGAAGACCAAAUUUAUAAGUUCCUUAGUUAUUCUAUUUUUAACUAAAUAAGUUCUUGUACUAUAAGCAAUCGGAAUAGGCAGAGUAGAUAUAUUUAUUUUUAAACGAAAUGACUUCCUUGCGAUAGUAUUUUUUCAGUACAGAUGGUGUUUUUUUUUACGCACUAGUGCGAGAAGUGGUUCAUUAUACGCCAGGUCUAAACUUCGGAG